UAGUGCAUUGUGUUGGAUUGUUC
rnacentral:piRNA from 1 species